GACGAACGCUGGCGGCGCGCUUAACACAUGCAAGUCGAGCGAGAUCCAGGCCUUCGGGCCUGGGGACAGCGGCGAACGGGUGAGCAACACGUGGGUAAUCAACCCUCGACACUGGGAUAGCCCGGGGAAACCCGGAUUAAUACCGGAUGGCCCUUUGGAUCCUCGGAUCUGAAGGAAAAGGUAGCUUCGGCCUCCGGUCGAGGACGAGCCCGCGGCGGAUUAGCUUGUUGGUGAGGUAACGGCUCACCAAGGCGACGAUCCGUAGCUGGUCUGAGAGGACGAGCGGCCACACUGGUACGGAGACACGGACCAGACUCCUACGGGAGGCAGCAGUGAGGAAUAUUGGACAAUGGGCGCAAGCCUGAUCCAGCCAGGCCGCGUGCAGGAAGACGGUCCUAUGGAUUGUAAACUGCUUUUGUACAGGAAGAAACACUCCCUCGUGAGGGAGCUUGACGGUACUGUAAGAAUAAGGAUCGGCUAACUCCGUGCCAGCAGCCGCGGUAACAC
rnacentral:rRNA from 1 species